rnacentral:rRNA from 1 species
AUUGAACGCUGGCGGCAUGCUUUACACAUGCAAGUCGAACGGCAGCGCGGGCUUCGGCCUGGCGGCGAGUGGCGAACGGGUGAGUAAUGCAUCGGAACGUGCCCAGUAGUGGGGGAUAGCCCGGCGAAAGCCGGAUUAAUACCGCAUACGACCUGAGGGUGAAAGCGGGGGACCGAAAGGCCUCGCGCUAUUUGAGCGGCCGAUGUCGGAUUAGCUAGUUGGUGGGGUAAAGGCUUACCAAGGCGACGAUCCGUAGCUGGUCUGAGAGGACGACCAGCCACACUGGGACUGAGACACGGACCAGACUCCUACGGGAGGCAGCAGUGGGGAAUUUUGGACAAUGGGGGCAACCCUGAUCCAGCCAUGCCGCGUGCGGGAAGAAGGCCUUCGGGUUGUAAACCGCUUUUGUUCGGGAAGAAAUCCUCUGGGCUAAUACCCCGGGGGGAUGACGGUACCGGAAGAAUAAGCACCGGCUAACUACGUG